rnacentral:rRNA from 1 species
UACGUAGGUGGCAAGCGUUGUCCGGAAUUAUUGGCGUAAAGCGCGCGCAGGCGGCCUUUUAAGUCUGAUGUGAAAGCCCACGGCUCAACCGUGGAAGGUCAUUGGAAACUGAAAGGCUUGAGUACAGAAGAGGAAAGCGGAAUUCCACGGUGUAGCGGUGAAAUGCGUAGAGAUGUGGAGGAACACCAGAGGUGAAGGCGGCUACCUGGACAAUUGCUGACGCUCAGGCACGAAAGCGUGGGGAGCAAAAGGG